rnacentral:rRNA from 1 species
AUUACCGCGGCUGCUGGCACGGAGUUAGCCGAUGCUUAUUCCCAGGGUACCGUCAAUUGCGCAACACGUGCGCAAGUUUCUCCCCCUGGAAAAGCAGUUUACAACCCAUAGGGCCGUCUUCCUGCACGCGGGAUGGCUGGUUCAGGCUUGCGCCCAUUGACCAAUAUUCCUCACUGCUGCCUCCCGUAGG